rnacentral:misc_RNA from 1 species
GUUCCACUCCAAGGGCUUCAUCAGGUAAGUAUAUUUAAACUUCUAUGCGUUAUUUUUUCUUUAUUUUUUGCACCCAGUUAUUUAUCUGCUCCUAGAUUUUGAUUAAACUGCUAAACAUUCUUCUGUUAACUGCUAGUUCCAUGACCUACAUCUAUAUUGCUUAUAUGUUAAUUGAUUUACAUCCCAUGCUACCACUUGUGACCUCUCUAUCUCUGUGACAGCUCCUCGUAAAACUAUUCUUGAUAGUCCCUCCGCAGCCAAACUUCCAAAGAAAUGGCACUAAAUUUGGAGAAUUUUUUGGAUGCUAAAGAAAUUGACACUUACUGUAGUUUGUAAAUUCUAACUUUAUCGUGUUGCGUCUUCCUAGCAUUGUCCUGGCUUCCAUUUAUCCCAUAAAAAUGUCUACUUGGGAAGGGAUAAACCAGAAGAGAUUUAUGGUGUAAAAUGUAUAUACUCUAAGGAUUGUAUUUAUAGUUUCAAGUCCAUCUUUAAUUAUAUCGAGUUGCGGUGACGUUAUAACUUAAAUGGCCUUGGAACUUCAGUUGUAUUCAAACCUCGUUGAAGUGGAACUUCGAUCAUGAACCUCGUUGAUCUGUAUCCGGCAAAUUUUACAAAUCACCUCUCAAGAGGAGGCUAAACAUUAUUCUUUACUUAAAUUUUAAU